GACGAACCGUGCGAACGUUGUUCGGAAUCACUGGGCUUAAAGCGCACGUAGGCGGCUUUGUAAGUUAGAGGUGAAAGCCCGGGGCUCAACUCCGGAACUGCCUUUAAGACUGCAUCGCUUGAAUCAUGGAGAGGUCAGUGGAAUUCCGAGUGUAGAGGUGAAAUUCGUAGAUAUUCGGAAGAACACCAGUGGCGAAGGCGACUGACUGGACAUGUAUUGACGCUGAGGUGCGAAAGCGUGGGGAGCAAACAGG
rnacentral:rRNA from 1 species